UCAGGUGCAGAGCUUUGUCUA
rnacentral:siRNA from 1 species